GCCAGUAUGGUAUAGUGGUUAGCAUGCCUGCUUGAGAAAGUUAUGUGACAUUAUUGGAUUUAUUAUUGAGGUCCCAGGUUUAAUUCCUGAAAUUGCCC